rnacentral:tRNA from 1 species
GGGGAUUUAGCUCAGUGGUAGAGCACUUGCCUAGGAAGCGCAAGUUCGGUCCUGGGUUCGGUCCCCAGCUCCG